AUCGAUUUAAAUAACAAUAUGAUAUUUAAAUAUCGGAUAAGGCUAUGUUAACUGUUGUUCGAAGUGAUGUUCUACGAAAUGGUUGUUUAAACUAUUGCUGUUAGGAGCAGAUUGGAUAUUAUGUUUAUGAAUGCAAGUGUGGCAUUCCAUCAUUGUAAUAUGUACUUCCGGUGUGGUGAUGAAAACCGCUUGUUAUUCUUGUAAGCGACCAAAUGACACAGUUCUGGCACAACAACUUGCAGAAGGAAUUGCGAACGAGGACUAUUGGACCUUGUAUGCCAUGCACCCGGUCAUGCAAAUGGUAUAUGAACAUACAUAUAAAGACACGUUUAAUGAAAAGCGAAAUGAAAAGGAAGCUUUCAUUUAUGGUACUCGUAAAUGCAAAUCGCAGGGUAUAGAUUGGAAAAAAGGGAACCAUGUGAUGGAUUUAUCUACGUGUCCUUGGUACUUGGAGCUUACCUACGAUGAAGACAGGUUCCCUGCCAUCAUGACUACAACACGAUGCCGAUGCAAGAUUUGCUACACACAAGAAGGAAGCCGUCCCAAAAAUACCAAGGGUCAGCCGAAGUGUCACCCAAUAUAUAUCCGACAACUUGUAUUGCGAAAAAGUUAUGUCGACAGUGAUUUAAACGCUCCUGUUUGCACAUACAAUCUUUCUUAUCAAAAAGUCGGAGUUGGUUGUACGUGUAAGUUAAGGAGACUCGAUUCAAGGUCGCAAAGCAGUAGUAUUCAUAAACCUGGUGCGUGAUGAUGUCGUAAAAAGUGCGUGUAAGGGUAAGACCGAGCACGAUCACUGGGGGGUCCUCAAUCUUGUCUCUGUGUUCGUCAUUAGAGCGAUAAAAUGUGUGUCAAGAGGAUAGGGAUUAGCUUAAGAAACUUCAGCGUACAGUUUAUAUAGUAUUGACAUACCUGUACGCUGAAGCCAACCCCAUAUCGAAAGUCAACCAGAGUCGUAACAUAUUUAUGUCACGCUAUAUAUCAAAGAAUGCUCAUUUUCUUGGAUACAUUUCUACAUAUAUUGAUGAAUAAAUAUAAAUUAGUGCAUCGAGGAAUAUGUUAAGGUUCAAAUAUUUCAAAUGCAUCUUACAAUAGAUGAAAAUAACUUUUAUCAGUCUGAAAUUUACAAUUUUGACGCCAUUGUCGCUUUGUCACGUGACGAGUUUUCAUUUGGAUACUUUCGGAUGGACCUUGACAUUUUAUGCUGAAAUUGUAAACAUUACUUUCGUUUUCUGAAAUCUAUUAUUUGUGAUUAACAACUUACGUCUGGUGGAUUAUAAGACUGAUUUAAAUGUGAAUCAGGUAGUUUUAAAUAAUAUUUACUUUGAGUUUGUAUUUACACUACAAUUUGUUUACAAAACAAGCCAGAAUAAUCUAAAAUACCGGGAAAUGUCAUUCUGAAUUUGAAAACACUUGAGCACAUGGUAUGUUACUAAAAAUAGAAAUAACGUCAUAUGACCGUGAAUCUCGGGAGAUUCGCAUUUCAAGAAAGUCUGUCACAUCGCUGUUUUUCUCGAUAUGUAAGAGCAGAAUAGAUAAAUUUUAAAUGUUUAAGAUAGUAUUUUGUGAAAGAAUAUAUCAGUUAAAUGUGAAAAAUAUCAAUCUUUCCGAUCAAGUUGUUGAUUUGGGCCAAUAACUGCAUUUAAAAGCUAUUUUGGACCAGUCUUUGUUAACUGUCAACUUUUCGGGAAUUUCUGGUUGACUUUCCUGAUGGGGUUUGUCCAUAACUAUAAAGGUGCGCCAGUAAAAAAUCAUAAAAAGCGACAUUUAAAGUUAUGGUAGCCAAAACUAGAUAGGGAUGUGUGAGCUUUUCGUUGAAGUUAUAUUAUAUAUUUUAUAUAAAGGAAAUUUAUUGUUUGACAAACGUUAACUAAAAUAUAAUCAUCAUUUGAUGUUCCAAACAUAUUGCUAUGACACCGACUUUAUGCGAUGAAAAACAAGACAGGCUAAUUUCUGUGCAUAUAUGAAUGUACAUAUCGACAUAUACUAAGUAUUAUGAAAAAGAUGCGGUAGUUUGAUUUUUUGUUUGUUAAUAAACAUGUUUUCUGAGGAUAUAAUAAAAGGCCAAUUAACGACAAGUUCUAAUCAGAAUUUAUAAACAAUAAGCUAUUUCAGUAAAAAAGACGAAAUCAACAUGCUCUUGACUGAUGUAGCACAUAAUUGUUGUAAAGUAAAUACGUUUGGUUUGAUUUUUGUAAAUUUUAACCACACCUUAAACUGUAAAAUUUCCCAGCAUGUAAGUACCCGAUACUUGUCAAACCCGUUAUUAUAUUAAAUAAAGAUAUUUCCUUGUUUCAAGUUCAUAAUCAUUUAAGUAGUGCAUAUUGUUUUUCACACUAGCAAUUUGUAAAUUCUUAUGAAAACUCAUACAAAAAUUACUAUAUUAGGUUUUCUAUUUCAUUUAUGAAAGCCUUUUUUGUGCGAUUGUGUGUUUUUUUUUCACAACAGUACUGAGCUUUUGCAUUUUUUGUGUUGUCAAUUUUAUGCAAUUAUCUAAUCGACGUUGAGUCAUGACCCUCGAUACAAAAGCUGUAAAUCAUCGUGUAUUCUUGCAAUUUGUACAAGUAUGUAAAGUUUGAUUUAUUUCUCCCAAUGGUUACCAACCCAGUUUUUGAAAGUAUUUAUUUCAUACACGAGCAAUAAUAAUUCAUGGUACAAUAAUUAUCGUAAAAUGUGUUUUAAGUAUAGCUCGCCAAUAUCAAGCUGGCACUGGC